CGUCUCUAUCUGCAAUCUACUUGCAGACAGGCAGGGCCCUCUCCACAUCAGGUUAAUAAUGCCAUUUUCAUAAGCCUCUGCCCAUAGGUGCUACCACCUAAUUUUGAAUCUGCCCUUCAAACGGAUUGGGCCACAGAGGAGCUGGGAUCUCAAGCACCGCUGGGAGGUGCUUAUAACUAAUCAAUCCGUCCCCUGCCCACCCACACCCCCCCCAGCACUCGGCACAGCUUCGCUGAGCAGCCUUCAGCAGCAGGGUGUGGUGGGGAGCCUCGGAGAGUCUGGGGUUCCAUCCUGGCCCAGCCUCACACCAGCUCAGAGACGACCGACUGAGCUUCGAGGACAGGAAGCCACCGGCAUCACUUCAUCCCCAGCCUCACGCUUGGGACUGGGCCCGGGGAAGCAAGCAGUGAGGAUCGAGUGGCACAGGACGAGAGGAGAUCCACUUGAACGCUUGCAGCCAAG